AGUCUACGGGAGGCAGCAGCUAAGAAUAUUCCGCAAUGGACGGAAGUCUGACGGAGCGACGCCGCGUGGAUGAAGAAGGCUGAAAAGUUGUAAAAUCCUUUUGUUGAUGAAGAAUAAGGGGGAAGAGGGAAUGCUUCUCUGAUGACGGUAAUCAGCGAAUAAGCCCCGGCUAAUUACGUGCCAGCAGCCGCGGUAAUGACU
rnacentral:rRNA from 1 species